GAAUUGUUCGCAAUGGGCGCAAGCCUGACGACGCAACGCCGCGUGGAGGAUGAAGAUUUUCGGAUCGUAAACUCCUUUCGAUCGGGACGAAUCGUCCCCGGCCCAAUACGCCGGGGGACUGACGGUCCCGAGAGAAGAAGCCCCGGCUAACUCCGUGCCAGCCGCCGCGGUAAUACGGGGGGGGCAAGCGUUGUUCGGAAUUACUGGGCGUAAAGGGCGCGUAGGCGGCCUGCUAAGUCGGACGUGAAAUCCCUCGGCUCAACCGGGGAACUGCGUCCGAUACUGGCGAGCUCGAAUCCGGGAGAGGGAUGUGGAAUUCCAGGUGUAGCGGUGAAAUGCGUAGAUAUCUGGAGGAACACCGGUGGCGAAGGCGGCAUCCUGGACCGGCAUUGACGCUGAGGCGCGAAAGCCAGGGGAGCAAACGGG
rnacentral:rRNA from 1 species